rnacentral:lncRNA from 1 species
CCCAUAAUUGGUUGUCACAUGUACAAACCUCUAAUACGGAAUCUGAAUAAAAUAUACAAGUCUCAUAGUAAAGUUCUAGAAUAGAACAGAACAAUAAAUAUAGAUAACUUGAGGGCACGUCUGGAAUGAACCGCUACCUCUCAAGUAAGUCUGGAAGCUCUAAUCUGAAGAUGAGUAAUAAGCCGGAUCUGAUAGAGCUGUCAACCUACACAACUGUGUAGAAGCAAGGGUGAGUACCAAAAGCAACAAGUACUCGCAAGUAACACUAAACUAAGCUAAACUAGCAGCUACAAACAACUCCUUUCAAUCCCAACCGAACCACCGAAACUUCAUUCUAACAGCGAACCAACAACCUAUACUACACAAUUCAUAAUCAACAGAUAUAUCCAACAGUGUCUCAACGUCAAUCUCAUAUCCUCAUGUAAGAGCAAAUAGAUCAUAUAUCACAUGAAGAGGGGCAAAUGAGUAAAAUCCAUACACCACAGACAAAGAUGAAGUCAAAUGCAAUAAUGAUGUCAUGUAGUUGUAAUGCAUGUCUGUCCUAAGAUACACAUCUGUUGACACAAUCAGACCGCGCUGAAUACUCAAAUCAAAACCCAUGGGGCCCACACAUGGACCAUGUAUCACCGCCGGAACCAGAUCCCAUCGGCAUCCAAAUCGCUAGCCGGAGCUAGUCCAUCUCAUAUAUCUCUAGCCGGAGCUAGUCUCAACUGUGUCUCAUAUCCAUCCAUCCUCAUAUCAGUGUCUCAGAACUCAUGCAACAGAUAGUUCACACAUGGGAUGAAUAAUGAAUAUGCACAUGUCAUCAAUCACAAUCAUAUCACGAUCACAUCAUAAUAUUACACAUCAUUUGUCUGGGAUGAAUAAUGAAUAUGCACAUGUCAUCAAUCACAAUCAUAUUACGAUCACAUCAUAGUAUUACACAUCAUCUGUUUCAACAUCAAUGUCUGUAUCAAUCAUAGCCUACUCAUGCUCUUCUAUCCCCUCAAUAUCAGUUAUCACAUGACUUAUUCAACAAAUUCAAGUCACAUAUAACACAUUUAGCUCGUUUUAUUCCCCAUCUUUCAAUUACAACAAUUUCAAUCAACAAAUAAAACUCAUCCUCAAUCCCCAUUACUCCCCAACACAAUUAGGAAAGUAGUCAUGUGUAGUCUAAGAGUUUAACAAAGUUUAGAAGUCACUUGCCUCAAAACACUUCAACUAGUAACUCAAAUUUGAGUUUUACCCUUCCGAGCACGCUCCAAAUCACCACAAUCCAAUGAAUUCCUUGCGAAAACCCACUUGAAAUCACCUAUUUUCGAUCUCUCAAAGUCUAAAAAUGGAGAAAUGGGUAUUUUUCAAGUUAGGGGAAAAUGGCUACUGG